CCUACGGGCGGCUGCAGUCGAGAAUCUUUAUCAAUGCCCGAAAGGGUGAAUAUGCGACGCCGCGUGCAGGACGAAGGCCUUCGGGUUGUAAACUGCUGUCAGGGGUGAGGAAACGUUACGUGCUAAUACCACGUAAUUUGACGUUAACCCCAAAGGAAGCCACGGCUAACUCUGUGCCAGCAGCCGCGGUAAUACAGAGGUGGCAAGCGUUGUUCGGAUUUAUUGGGUGUAAAGGGCAGGUAGGCGGUCAAGCAAGUCUGUUGUGAAAUCCCGGG
rnacentral:rRNA from 1 species